rnacentral:lncRNA from 1 species
AAAAGGGAAGGAGGUUUAACUAAUGAUGGAUAAUUUUCAUGCAUUAAUGGACAUGCUAAUCACAGACAUAGCUCAUUUAUGAGCUAUAGCCUAUUAUACUGUCAAACCUUUUGUCUAUCAACCUACACACAUAAUAAAAUAACAAGUUACCCUACCGUUGACAUUUGCUAUGUAUGAGAGCUAACUCAAGUAUCCAAACAGAAAUGUAAAACAACAAUACAUUCUGUGAUAUACAGUAUACAAGCUAUGUCUAAAAAUAAACAAUCUUCAACUCUUCUCUUUUGUAUUCAUGCUCAACUUUCAAGUUACAUGGACAGUAUUAAUCGUGUACCUGGUAUAGCAAAGCAAAAGAAAAAGGAUAAUGAUCAGUUGAGUAGUAUGCAACAAACACAGCAACAGCAGAUAAACAGCAACAACACAGCAACAAACAACCAGCCACAAUGAUGAAGCUCACAAGUAGUCGAGCAAUAAACAAGCAAUCCCAGAAACAGAAUGGUGAACCAACAGAAAACCAGGGUAUUCAAUGUAACAGCACCAGCAGUUCAACAAUCACAAACAGCUCGGCGAAUAACCAACAACAAUUAACCAAGACAACUUGGCCAACUUGAACUCCUAAGCAGUUUUCAGACAGUGUUUGGUUACAAUAUUCUGAAAAUUUCUUUAUGUUUCUUUUUUUCUCUGAAAAAAACUAAAAAUGUCCAGCCCCUUUCUUAACUAAAAACAACUCUAUUUAUAACUAAAUGAGAACCCCUAAGGGCUGCCUAGAACUUCACAGCCUCAGUGACUGCCCAUCCCCUUCAUUUCCCAUGCCUAAGCAUCUUCUUGAUGCAAGUCAUUUUUGUUCCCCACGCCUGACCUCUUGCUCUAUUCAAGGGUCAUGGGUUCAUUUAAGUAUUAAAACUCCCAUGCUCUUAUGUUUUGUCCCCACAAAUAUAUUAGUUUAAUCUUAAUUCAGUACCCUAUUUGUCAGCUCACUUAAACUAAGCUUUUUCUGUUCUUUUCAAACCCCAGACUACCCUUGUUAAAACCUGAUUAUUACUGUACUAACCCAUUGCAGCAUCAGGGCAUUUUGAACUUCUGAAAGUUCAAAUUCAAAGUUGCCCUAGACUGAAUCUUUCGGUUGUUUUGCAAUGCAGUUACAAGCUAAUUUCAUGCAAUGUCAAGCAUCCAAUUAAUCACAGAGUUCGAAUAGUCAUGUGAAGUUAUCAGACCAUUUGAUCAGUCAGUCCUAUAAAACUAAUCGACGACGUUUAUCUGGUCGACUAUACUAAUUAUAACAUGAAAUAAUCAAUCGAUCAAUCAAACAACACGAACAGGGCAAUGGACUGCCUUCAACAACUUUGCACAACACAGAGAAUCUAUAUGAAUUAUUUACUCGACAACUAAUCUAAUUGACGAACCUGUAUAUCACAAGACGUGUUCGACAUAUACACAGAAGAACAAGCGACCAAAAAAAAGGUCUUUACAAAGACGGAAGAAAUUGAAAGGAAAAUAUCAGAAAUACCAAACAAAUCACAACAAAACAUGCUGAUAGCCUCAAUCAGUAUUCAAAUAAAACAGAAAAGAAAAAGAAAAACUUACUAAAUGCUUAACUAAGAACGGGCCAGGUCUGAACCAGUUUUGACCAUUUGAGGCCGAACAAACUUUAAUCGGGGUGUUCUCAACCGUGAACACCUUGAUUAAAGUCUAUUAGACCCCAAGCCCUCUAUGAAACAGGUCGGAUUCCCCAGGUUCUUGUGUUCUAGGGUUUGAAUCUUUAGAUUUGGGAUUUGAGGAUUUGUGGGUAGAUUCGGACCAAACCAGGCUUGAUUUGGCCACGAGGGAGGUCAGGGUGGUGGCUGGUAUGAAUCCGGGGUGGGUUAGUGUAGAUCGGGGUUCUGCUCGAACCUUCAAAUGAAGAUUCGAGACGUUCGGGGAAGAUUCGAGGUAAGCUGAGUGCGGAUUUGGAGAGGGGGGGUCAUGGUGGUUCAAGGGUGUUAGCUUCAGGGCCAGCAGCACCGUAGCCGCCGGCUUUCAGGCGAAGGGGUGGGGUGGCAGCUAGGGUUUCCAUGGGAACCUGCCUCUGAGCUUCAGAAGACGGAGAGGGGUCUGGCUAUGGGGGGCUGGGGUGAAGGAUUGAGGCUUUUAUACGGGGGAGGGGAUUGAUCCUGGGCCGUUCGAUCUGAUGAGAUCAAUGGCCAGGAUCCCCUGGCUGAUANNNNNNNNNNNNNNNNNNNNNNNNNAGUAACUUUCGUGAAGCAAAAAUCACGUGCUUACAUAUAUCAUCUGAUUUUGCGUAACUAUCAUUUUGAUUACUGUAUAUGGCAGGGUUCCAUCAGGACCUGGUCAUUCCAGUAAUGAAUUUUCAUAAUGAAGACAAGGGUUUUAUGUGUUUGGCUGGGGAUGUUUUUGAUGUGCCAAUUAGGAAGGAUAUUAUUCAUCGUGUUGUAAGAUAAGAUGGUAGCUAGCAAAACGACAGCAGGUAUGUGCACGAUUCUUUUGAAUCCCAAAUUUUCAAUUAUAGAGCAUACAUAUUGGCGAGCUAUUCUUGUUUUACUCUGUGUUUCUCAUGCCUAAGAGCCAUUUAUCAUUUUCCAUUUCUCAUCUUACUGUCAAUUGUUUCUCUGGGAAACAAAGAGGCUUACUGGAGAAAAAAGAGAAUCAGGAUGAUCAUUUUGAGGCAUAUGAAGACCACAGAAACUCAUAUGCCUUUGGGGGAAAAAUCGCCUUGCGAAAGAAAAUUGUUGCAUACAAAAAAUGAUCUAAGGUGUAUCAUUUAAAUCAAUCAGGGCCUCUUAUUCUCCUACCUGUUUACUAUCUUUAUGCAUGUUCCCCUGAUUCUACAAGUUUUAUAAAUUAUAGUUACUUGCCAAGGCAAUAAAGGAUUCAAAUGGUGUUGUUGACCUACUCUUGAUGAAUGUUGCAGGGAACCCAUUUAACUAAAACUAUUAGUGAAGUUACUGGGGCUGGUAGAAAACUGUGGUGGCAAAAGGGAACUGGAAGAGCAAGGCCUGGAACACUGCGUGGUGCUCAGGUUCUACUUGUGUAUAUUGCUUUGAUUUAAAGAGUAUAUCUUUCUGCUAAGUAAUUUUGAAUCAUUUUUAGGACAAAAAGUUUCCUGUAAAUGUAAAAUAUCUUACAUAAUCCCCUUCUCUUGAAGUUCCAAUCUUUCAAAAUUGCUAGGUUCAAAAUUACCUUGGUGAAACUUGUUCAGGGAUCUAAUUGAAGCAAGUAUUAUCAUUAUGUUUCUUCUUGAUUCUUGAGCUUGAAUGCUUCGUGAAGAUCUUGUCAGUUUGCAAUACAUACAUGUCGAGUCAAAGGUGCAGGCAUAAGUUGUAAUUAUGCAUGGUUAAAAUGUUAGUACUUGGUUUCCUACCCACAAGCCGCAUCAACAGAAAGAGAAAGGAGUUAGUUUCAGUAGGUAUAGAUGUAGAAUGGAAAGAAAAGGGGACUCUGGAAGUUCAUAGUGUGAAACAUAUUGCAUUGGCUUGCCAUCGUGGGAUUUUUAUGUCUAAUUUUGUAUGUUCUUUUGGCAUACGGAAUUAAUUGUACAUCGCAUGAAGUGUUCUUAUUUCUUAGUUGUAAUGUAAAGUAACACUGCAUUAGAAUCAAAAUUGUUGGGCCCGCAAGCGCGAGCAAGAGUCAUCUAAUAUAUAUAUAUAUAUAUAUAUAUAACCUCUAACUAUUAAUAUUGUAGGGUUUUGAAUUGUCUUGUAGAGUGAGAAAUGCCAUAGGUCAGAAGGAUGAAUAGUUGUUCUCAAAAUUACAAAAGACAGAAUAUUUAUGAGAAAUCAAGUUUGAAAUAGAGUACUGAAAUCAGCAAACAACUUUUCUUCUCACUGCUCUGACAGUAAGACAUCAGCAUCACUAUCAACCACUCCAUCAAUAUUCAUCUUGAAGCAGCCAGAUGCAACCAAAUUUUCAUUUUUUGUAAACACAAUGCUGAACAAUAAUUUUUGAAAUACAAAUUUGAUUAGGAUUUGAAGUGAAAGUUCACCAUUCAACUUUAAUGGAAUAACUUUUUUUCCAAAGAAAUUGUAUAUAAGUACUUCUUUAACUUUAUUUCAAAAAUUAUUUUUUUAAUUUCAAUCAAAAACAGUCCAAACGUCUACAUCCCGCUUAUUUGUAAUGUUACUAGGCUAGUAACUACUCCCUCCGUUCCAAUUUAUAUGAACUUAUUUCAUUUUUGGUCUGUUCCAAAAAGAAUGACUUCUUUCUAAAUUUGAAAACAAUUUAGCUUAAACUUACAAUUUUAUCCUUAAUGAGAAGUUUUUAUAACCACACAAAUACUCUGGACACCUUUUUAACUUGUUUAGGACCACAAAUUUCAAAAGUCUUCAUUUUUUCUUAAACUCCGUGCUCAUCAGUCAAACAGGUUCACAUAAAUUGAAACGGAGGAAGUACAUUAUUCUCUGUCUGUUUCAUUUACGUGGCAUUGUUUAGUUAGACAUAAACAAAAGAAUACUUUUAGAAUUUGUGAUAUUAAACAUGAUAUAAACAUAUGUCUGACUAUAUGACUUUUGAUGCUUCUAAUCUUAAACAUGCAUAUAUUUAUGUUAGUAUAAAAACUAUCAUCAAGAGUAAAAUUAUAAGUUUAAAUUAAAUUAUUCCAAUCUUUAAAAGAAAUCAAUCUUAUUACAGGCUAAUAAGAAAAUAAUUAUAGAAAAUGAAACUAUGUGGAUAUAAGUUUUCUUUAUUAGUAAGUGGCGGAUCCAGGAUUUUGUACAAGCGCAAGUUUGUUUUUGUCUUUAUUAUUCACAACAUGAUCUCAUAAUAAAGUCCUCUUAAAGUUGGUGCUCUAUAUUUUAAAUAAUUUUGCUUAUUUUAAUUUAAAAAUCUAAUAUUACCUGAUUUAUUAAACUUUAACAAAAAAAGGGCCAAUUUUAGAAUUUAUAAACUCUAAGAAAUUUGAUCGAUUAUAAAAUCUUUUUAGCAUUUAUAAGUAACGAGUUAUUUUUUGCAAAAGAAGACAAUAAGAAAAGAGUUGCAAACUAAGCUAAUUAACACCAAUAAUCAAAGAAAGAGAGCUUAUACACUAAAAAAUUAAAUAUAAAAAAAAAGUUCCAACAUAAACUAAAUCAAAUUAAACUAACAAAUGACAAAUAAUUUCAACAAAUAUAUUUGCAAGCCUUAGCAAAUUUUAUAAAAGGGAGAACUAAAAUUAUCUUCUAGGGUAAAAAAAAACUUCCGUAUAAUUUUUAUUGAAUUUAUGUAAAGAAAAUAAACUAUAAAAUAAAAUAAAGAAAACGGCAAAAGAUAUACUACAAGGAAAAUAAUUUGAUUUGAUUGCAAAGACAUCUAUAUUGGACUAUAUUGCUAUCUUUAUGGGUUUGUAUCUCACGACCCAUAUUUCCCACCCUCGGGAGUCGUGAUAGUACCUGCUCGUGAAAGCCACGCAAGCCGAGUAUUAUGGAUUUACUCUUUUAUUUAACCCUUUUUAACAAUUUAAAUCAACAUGCGAUCAACAGUGAAAUAUUGACAAUAAUCAAAUACAUGUGGAAGACGUAAUCUGAUAACUUAGCCAAAAACAAGUACGACAAUAUCAAGUACAUCUCUACCCGGAACCAGUAUCACAAUACCACAGACCGUCUACGAAUACUACACACAAUUGUUUGGAAAGAAAGAUACACUCUGUCUCUGAAGUAAAUAAAACAGAAUAUAAAGAUAGAAGAGAACGUCAGGGCCUGCGGACGCCCGCAGGACUACCUCGGGAUCUCUGACUGGACUGAAGGCUCGCGUUCGGGGAGCUUCAGCCCCCAGAGCCUUCGCGUUCACGGUCGGGUGGCCGCGUUCGCGUAGAGUAAAAUCCCUCUCCCCCUGCCCAGGCCCAAAGGCCUUCCCGUUCGCAAUAGCAGGUCCGCGUUCGCGAAGGGAAACACCCCCAAAGCUUCGCGUUCGCGUCUUGUGUCUCGCGUUCGCGUAGAAGGAGAUUUCCUUCAGCUUGACUAAUCCUUCGCGUUCGCGAGAGUCCUUCUGCGAACGCGAAGAACAACACACCAGAAUAGCAGAAACUGAAAACCUGCAACUUUUUCUAAGUUCAACAACCUUUUGAGACCUAUCUGAAACUCACCCGAGCCCACGGGGCUCCAAGCCAAACAUGUACACUACCUCAAAAAUACCCUACGGACUUACUCGUGCGAUCAAAUUGCCAAAAUAACAUCAACAACUAUGUGUUUAGCAUCAAAAUCAUGAAAUCACUCAAGAAAUUUAAAUUUUCUAAUUUUUCUCAAAUACCGUCUAAUUCACGUCAUUUCCAGUCCGUUUCUUACCAAAUUUCACAGACUCGACUUAAACCACAUAUAAGACCUGCACCGGGCUCCGAAACAAAAAUAAGGGUCCAAUACCAUCAAAUUUUAAACACAUUUCAUUUUCAAAAACUCAUAAAUAUUCGAGAAAAUAAUUUUCUUCAAAAAUUCAUUUCUCGAGCUUGGGACCUCGAAAUUCGAUUCCGGGCAUACGCCCAAGUCCCAUAUUUUCCUACGGACCUUCCGGAACGGUCAAAUCACGGGUCCGGGUCCGUUUAUCCAAAAUGUUGACCAAGUCAACUUAAAUUCAUUUUAAAGUUAAAACUCAUCAUUUUUCAUAGAUUUUCAUAUAAUGGCUUUCCGGCUAUGCGCCUGGACUGCGCGCGCUAAUCGAGGUGAUGCUGAAAGAUGUUUUUAAGACCUCGGAAUGCAGAAAUUUAUUUCUAAAGCAAGUGAUGAUAUUUUGGCUCAUCACAUUCUCCACCUCUAAAACAACCGUUCAUCCUCGAACGGACAUAAGAAGGAAGUACCUGAGUUGGGAAAAAAUGGGGAUAACGGCUCUGCAUAUCGGACUAAGACUCCCAGGUCGACACCUUAGUAGGCUGACCUCUCCAUUGAACACGAACAAAAGAAAAACUCUUUGAUUUCAACUGACGAACCUGCCAGUCUAGAAUAGCUACCGGCUCCUCCUCAUAGGACAAGUCCUUUUCCAACUGAACAGUGUUGAAAUCUAAUACGUGGGAUGGAUCGCCGUGAUACUUCCGAAGCAUGGACACAUGAAACAUUGGAUGCACGGCUGAUAAGCUCGGUGGCAAUGCAAGUCUGUAAGCCACCUCUCUCACUCUAUCAAGAAUCUCAAACGGGUCAAUGAACAUAGGGCUAAGUUUGCCCUUCUUUCCAAAUUUCAUCACGCCCUUCAUAGGCGACACCCGAAGCAAUACCCGUUCACCGACCAUGAAAGCCAAAUCACGAACCUUACGAUCGGCAUAACUCUUUUGCCUGGACUGAGCUGUACGAAGCCUAUCCAGAAUAAUCCUGACCUUGUCCAAGGCAUCCUGAACUAGAUUUGUACCCAACAACCGAGCCUCUUCCGGCUCAAACCAUCCAACCGGCGACCGACACCACCUACCAUACAAGGCCUCAUAAGGAGCCAUCUAGAUACUCGAUUGGUAGCUGUUGUUGUAGGCAAAAUUUGCUAAAGGCAAAAACUGGUCCCACGAGCCUCCAAAGUCAAUGACACAAGCUCGGAGCAUAUCCUUCAAAAUCUGAAUGGUCCGCUCAGACUGCCCGUCUGUCUGAGGAUGAAACGUUGUGCUCAACUCAACCCGUGUGCCCAACUCUCGCUGAACUGCUCUCCAAAAAUGCGAGGUAAACUGCGUACCUCGAUCCGAAAUGAUAGAUACGAGCACACCAUGAAGACGAACAAUCUUCCGAAUAUAGAUCUCAGCUAGCCUCUCGGAAGAAUAUGAGACUGCCACAAGAAUGAAAUGUGCUGACUUAGUCAGCCUAUCAACAAUAGCCCACACUGCAUCAAACUUCCUCUAAGUUCGUGGAAGUUCAACAACGAAGUCCAUGGUAAUACGUUCACACUUCCACUCAGGAAUCUCAAUCUUUUGGAACAAACUACCAAGUCUUUGAUGCUUGUACUUAACCUGCUGACAAUUCAAACACCGAGCCACAUAUGCAAUAAUAUCCGUCUUCAUUCUUCUCCACCAGUAAUGCUGCCGCAGUUCCUGAUACAUCUUAGCGGCGCCCAGAUAAAUAGAGUACCGGGAACUAUGGGCCUCCUCUAAAAUCAACUAUCGGAGUCCAUCCACAUUAGGCACACAAAAUCGAUCCUGCAAUCUCAAAACUCCAUCAUAUCCUAAGGUAACCUGCUUGGCACCUCUGUGCUGCACCGUGUCUCUAAGGACACACAAAUGAGGAUCAUCAUACUGUCGAUCUCGGAUACGCUCCAAUAAAGAAAAAUGAGUGACUGCGUAAGCUAACACGCGACUGGGCUCAGAAACAACCAACCUCACGAACUGAUUGGCCAAAGCCUGAACAUCUAAAGCAAGCGGCCUCUUACCGACCGGAAUAUAAGUAAGACUACCCAUAUUGGCUGACUUCCUACUCAAAGCAUCAGCCACCACAUUGGCCUUUCCCGGAUGAUAUAAGAUGGUGAUAUCAUAGUCCUUCAACAGCUCCAACCACCUUCUCUGCCUCAAAUUUAGCUCCUUCUGCUUGAACAAGUAUGCAGACUCUUGUGAUCUGUGAACACCUCACAUGUCACGCCAUACAAAUAAUGCCUCCAAAUCUUCAAUGCGUGAACAAUGGAUGCCAACUCUAAAUCAUGAACCGAAUAGUUCUUCUCAUGAAUCUUCAACUGCCGCGAAGCAUAGGCAAUGACCUUGCCAUCCUGCAUCAACACCGCACCAAGUCCAAUACGAGAUACAUCACAAUAAACUAUGCAAGGCCUUGAACCUGUGGGCAAAACCAACACUGAUGCCGUGGUCAAAGCAGUCUUGAGCUUCUGAAAGCUCGCCUCAUACUCGUCCGACCACCUGAACUGGCCACCCUUCUGGGUCAACCUGGUCAUCCGGGCUACAAUAGACGAAAACCCCUCCACAAACCGACGAUAGUAACCUGCCAGACCCAAGAAACUCCUAAUCUCUGUAGCUGAUGCGGGUCUAGACCAAUUCUUGACUGCCUCUAUCUUCUUCGGAUCAACCUAAAUACCCUCUGCUAAUACAACAUGACCCAAGAAUGCAACCGAACUCAACCAGAACUCACACUUCAAAAACUUAGCAUACAACUGACUAUCCCUCAAAGUCUGAAGAACCACUCUAAGAUGUUGCUCGUUGUCACACCUCCUUUUUACCUACACCCCCGUAAAGGGCGUAAAGGAAUUUUUCCAAUUAAAGGACAAUCGAAACGGGAUUAUUAUUAAAAGAUUCAGUGUUGCCACUUGAGAGAUUUAUGGUGUCCCAAGUCACCGGUUGAAUCCCGAAUCGAGGAAAAGUUUGACUCUGUAUUACAGUUCGCGAACCAGAAAUCCGAGUAAGGAAUUCUGUUAACCCGGGAGAAGGUGUUAGGCAUUCCCGAGUUCCGUGGUUCUAGCACGGUCGCUCAACAAUAAUUGGCCUAUUAUCUGAUUUUAAUACAUGUUUUAGCCUAUGGUAUAAUUUUAAAUUAUUAACCGCUUUUUAUUAAUUUUAGGAAGAUUAAACGUCAUCUAAAACACGUCUUGAACCACGUUACAUAAAUGCACCCGCGAUCCACGACACAUUUUAUCUAACGUUGUUGAGAUUUGGAUUUGGGUCACAUAAAUGCACACCCGAAUUUGGAAAUUAGGUAUCGUAACUAUGUCACGGGAACCGUACCCACAAUCACGAUGGUUUAUUUUAUUAACAAAAUUAAAUUAUAGCCGGGUCCCAUAAAUGUACCCCCAGAUUUUAGAAUUUAAGUGCCAUAACCACGUCACGGAAACCGUACCCAUAGCUAUGACAAAUUUAAUUAAACGUGCCUAAAACAAAACUACGAGAGUUUUGUGAUUAUUUUUCCUACAAAUAGAUUAACCCUUUCAUUCAAAUAAGAUCCAAAUUCAAACUUAAUGUCUUCAACGUAAUUGGCAUGAGCUUAAAUAAUCAGAAUACUCCAAAAUAACACAAAGGAAGAAUACGCUAGAAUAGAAUUAAUAAUUAUCCCAAAAUUCAAGAUUAACUUCACAAAGAUUCACUUUUCUUAUCCCUUAAGCACCUGAAAUGUUACACAAAUAAAUAUGCAUAAUGAAGAAUUUAUAAUAAUAAACACUUGAGGCUAACUAGAAAGCACAAGCUAUGGGUUUCACUUCGGGACAUAGGCGAACAAACAUGGAAUUGACACAGUUAAAUUGAGCCUGUAAUUCAAUUGAGAGUCAUGCUAAAUCUGGAGAAAAUCGGUAAAAAAAUUGCCGAAUGAGCCAUUAGAUUAAAACACCAAUUUCCACUUUUAUGGAAGAAAUCGAAAAAAAAAGAAAAGAAUUUUUUUUUUAUCAACUUCAAAUGCAAUAACAAACAACAUUCACAUCUCAAUUAAUAAUAAAACUUGGACGGGUAGGCUUUGAUUUUUCUUUUGCGAAACCAAGCAUUCACAUCUCAAUUAUACUUUAAACUUGACACUUCCAUGAACUUCACCAUGAGGUUCAACAAACAAUUUUAAUGGACAGGAGCAAAAAUGAUAUCCAAAGCUAGCAACAUAGUGAGAAGGCAAAAAUUGGACCUUUGUAUUAAAUGAAUUUGAAGUUGAAAAACUUACAUCGGAACGAAGAUCGAACAAGAAACUAGCAACACCGGAACCUCGAACUUAAACCGGGAAUUGAUCUCGAACGGAAAGUCCAAAUCCGAACACCCACUCCAUUUUUGAAAACCGAAUCGGAAAGGACGAGAUUUCAGAAUAUAUCUUUACUUUUCUGAUUUUAUUUUU